AAUAAAAAAUGGCAAGCCAGAAUGUGCUAGCUAUUUGCCAAUUUGUCGUAACAUGGAUGUAAAGAGAUGGCAGCAGUUUAUGCACAUUUCUUGACUUGAACAGAUGACUAUCUAGAUUCAAUUGGGACCGCUAAGGUUGGCACCUUUCUCUCUCUUCCUUGGAGCUGCAUGAUUCCGUUCGAGUUGCUUAUCUCCACUUCCCCUGAUGCGAUUUCCCUCCUCACGUAGGUUAGGUAGGAGCACAAAGGUAGAUUGAAAAUUACCAGCAAGUCCAUCUCCUACUUCGACUGCAAUGUAAUGUUGAGUCUCACUUGCUUUCUUCCCUCUCUUUUCUCUUCUUAUCAGAGCAAAGAUGCAUUUCAGGCGAUGAACUCAACCAUUGCUCUGGGUUUGUGUGUGUGUGUGAGGGUGAGAGAGGGAGAAGUUGUUAGCUUUAAGUUGUCUUGUGAUUUCGUUUCCACUUGAAUCUGCUAUAUGACAUCUUCCAUGUUGUUUGUAUUACACCGUCGCGUCUCAUGUAACUUAUGAGGCUGGAGAUAUGUGCUUUCACUGCUUACUUGUGGAUCUGAAAGUUUUUCUUUGAUUAGAUGGUGUUGGUUGCAACAGAAUAGUAGAAUGCAUUGGCUAGCAGAUGUGAGGUUAUUCGGCUUUAAGUAUACAAUAAACGAAUGCAUUUACUUGACAGUGUUUGUAAUCUGCAUGAAAAGUUUAUCCUCUAAAGAAGCAAAUUGCGUCAUGUCCUGUGCAUACGCCCAAUUGUUUAUUAUAUGGAAGAAAAAUAUAAGAUGCCAAUCUGAUACACUCUUCCUAGUGUAAUAUUGUCAUUUCCUGCUUGUGGUAUUUACUUUGCAUUCACUGAACAGGCGUAUCUACUCUGUAUAACAAAGGUCCUGAUACAUAAUUUCAUUCACAAUUCUGUAUGGGAGGUUGGAUUGUCCUAUGCUUCGUUGACUCUUGAUUAUCUUAUCAUAACCGACUAGUAUUGAAGUUGAUGUUGUCGCAUUCGAUUGUUUUUGAAGAAUUCUGGGAAACAAAAAAUGUUUGAGAAUGCAUUGAACCUGCAUGUUGUAGAUGUGCUUACUAACGUUUCAUGACAUUGUCAGUCUUUUCAAGUUACUAAUAACAUGGUAUUCUGGAGUUGCUGAUAACAAUCAGCUUAGUUGUAAUUGUUGAUGGAAGUGGGUGUUGCUUUUAUGUUAUGCUCCCUCCGUCCCAAAUUAAUUGACUUACAUUCAUCUAGAUAUGGAUGUAUCUAACACUGAAACGUGGUUAGUCAUGUCCGUAUGUAGACAAAUCUGAGUCAACUAAUUCGGGAUGGAGGGAGUAUUGUUCAGUGAGCUUUUUAUAGAGGUACAAGCUGGUCUUUGUGUUCAGAGGCUUGAUAUGACUGUUAACUCUAUAUUGUUUGGCUGUGUAUAUUUGCAAAUGAAUAUUGAUGCUAAUCACAUAGACGAAAUAUGCAGGUCAUGGUCUUAAUCACGUGCGAUGGAUUAACAUAUUUCCUUCUUUUUGCUAUGAUUGCAAUGUGGCUGCUGAUGACUCACUGUCUUCGAAAUGCUUUUUAUUGAUCAAUAAAACUAUUAACAAGCCCUGUUAAAUAAUAACAAGCUCUGAUUAUCUGUUUUCAGUGAGAUUGCGAAGAACUUGCCACUUGCACCAGUAAAGCUCCAUUACACUAUGCCUGCUGAAGAUGCAAUUAAAAUCAAAGAAGGUGAAUCUGGGAGACAGCCUUGGAGAGACACCUUUGAAAGGUUCGUUUAUUAUUUCAAACUGCUUCGUUUUGUAGAUCAUGCCCCAAAAUAAAUAGGUCUCAACAUUAUUGCUGCUAGUAGUUGAUAGUCUAUCAAUUGGGUUGAGGCAGUUUAUGUUCAUUUUUCUGAUGUAUACUUCUAUUUCUCUGCAAGAUGUAUGAUACCCAUAUUAGCAAAUCUUAAGUGGUGAAGUCGAUUCAUGACCGUAAUGCUUGCAGUCUUGACCCCCCCCCCCUCCGGGUCACUGGUCAUGAUAAGCAUUUCAUAUUGUACAAACAAAAGUUUUGUUUUUCAUUGAGCUUUUUUGUGUCAAGCAAUAUGUGUAACUCCAUCUUAGCUUGCAGAAUACACAAGAACUGUUAGUUUUUAAUGCUUUUUUGUAUUUUUGUCCUAUUGUUGUAUCGACACAGUUUUAGUUCCUUUAGGUACACUUUACUUACCUUAAGCUCUCAACUAUUUGUUUGUUGUGUUGUUGGCUUAAUAAAACUGAUGUAACUCAGUUUCUUGUAUGUACCCAUGAGGACCGUCAUGGUAUCCACCCACACCCUCUUGUUGGCUUUCUAUGCGGUGCCUCAGCGUCCUAUAGAUGACCGAAAGCUUGCAGUAGCAUCAUCAUCAUCUCUGUCUCCUUCCUCACGAGCUUCAUGUCGUAGAUGAGGUCGCAACCGAGGUAUGCCCUCCUCUCCUCCCUUCUCCUUCCUAUCAAGUGCUUGUGUGAAAAGCAAUUUUAACCGAAAACCAAUCUCUGUUUGUUGUGAAGUGUAGUACAUAGUGUUAUUUUUCCUGCUCUUAAAUUUUACAGGUUGAGAAAUAUGUAGGUUAACAUCAUUUGGUUGAUAUUUUGCUUCUUGGUCUUUGUAGGAGUUUUAGUUUUGUAGUGUCUUUUAAUUUGAUAUGAUUUCUAUUCUUCAAAAAUAUAAAUCAUGAGAGUAAAACUAAAUCUUCUUGUUGCAGUUUCGCAGUGCUCUUUUAGUUUGAUAUGAUUUCUAUUCUUCAAAAAUUUAACUUUGGAUACUCAUGCGUGUGCUAUUGAACUUAUAGGUUUGCAUCACGGAUGCCGUCGACGGUGGGCAUACAUGCUGUGGCGGAAGCUCAUGGCAUAUUGUAGGUUGAACUCAUGCUUUUGUUUGUUAAUUCUUGUUGCAUAUGUACACAUGUUGUGAACCGUCCUUGAAUAUGUAUGUGUGUUUUUGUGAAACUAUGUUGGAUAUGUAUGCAUGUGUGGACUUUGAACUCAUCAUCGGUUUGUUAUUUUUGUGAACAUGUAAUAUAUUGGAUAUGUAUGCAUGACCAUUUCAUUUGUGAAUUCUUGUUGCAUAUGUACGCAUGCUUUUGUGAAACUAUAUUGUUGUUGUGAUCUAUUGGAUAUGUAAUAUAUUGUUGUUGUUGUUGUGAUCUGUUGGAUAUGUAAUAUAUUGUUGUGAUCUAUAUUGUUGUUGUCAUGAUAUAUUGGAUAUGUAAUAUAUUGUUGUUGCCAUUAUGUAUAAAUCGUGUGCCCGUUGGCACUCGACUUACAUGGGGACAUUCGGCUUAUAUGUAAGCCGAGUGUUUUCACUAUUGCUCUCGGCUUACCCCGG
rnacentral:lncRNA from 1 species